rnacentral:rRNA from 1 species
UACAGAGGUCCCAAGCGUUGUUCGGAUUCACUGGGCGUAAAGGGUGCGUAGGCGGUUGGAUAAGUCUGAUGUGAAAUCUCCGAGCCUAACUCGGAAACUGCAUCGGAAACUAUCCGGCUUGAGGGUUGGAGGGGAGACUGGAAUUCUCGGUGUAGCAGUGAAAUGCGUAGAUAUCGAGAGGAACACCAGUGGCGAAGGCGAGUCUCUGGACAACUCCUGACGCUGAGGCACGAAAGCUAGGGGAGCAAACAGG